rnacentral:lncRNA from 1 species
GUCAAUAUUCGAAAAUAAGGCUGCUCGUCUAUUUUAUUUUUAAAAAUAAUUAUCUAAGCGAGAUACUUCCCUGACAUACAAAAUGCCUUACGUAUUACUUGCUCAGAUUGUAAAAACCCUUUGUUGUUAAUGCAACUCCAAACACAAUUCGGAUGUCAAAACAGUAAAACGCACCUUUCAUACGCAUACAAUAACCAUGUUUAUAAACCAAAA